AGUUUGAUUCUGGCUCAGGAUGAACGCUAGCUACAGGCUUAACACAUGCAAGUCGAGGGGCAGCAUUGGGAUAGCUUGCUAUUCAGAUGGCGACCGGCGCACGGGUGAGUAACGCGUAUCCAACCUUCCUGCCAGUAGGGAACAGCCCGGCGAAAGUCGGAUUAAUGCCCUAUGUUCUUCAAUGCGGACAUCUAAGUUGAAGGAAAGAUUCAUCGCUGGCAGAUGGGGAUGCGUCCGAUUAGCUUGCCGGCGGGGUAACGGCCCACCGGGGCGACGAUCGGUAGGGGUUCUGAGAGGAAGGUCCCCCACACUGGUACUGAGACACGGACCAGACUCCUACGGGAGGCAGCAGUGAGGAAUAUUGGUCAAUGGGCGUAAGCCUGAACCAGCCAAGUAGCGUGCCAGGAUGACGGCCCUACGGGUUGUAAACUGCUUUUAUGCGGGGAUAAAGUGCGGCACGUGUGCCGCUUUGCAGGUACCGCAUGAAUAAGGACCGGCUAAUUCCGUGCCAGCCGCCGC
rnacentral:rRNA from 1 species